rnacentral:rRNA from 1 species
AGAGUUUGAUCCUGGCUCAGGAUGAACUCUGGCGGCGUGCCUAAUACAUGCAAGUCGAGCGAACCACUUCGGUGGGAAGCGGCGAACGGGUGAGUAACACGUAGGUGAUCUGCCCAUCAGACGGGGACAACGAUUGGAAACGAUCGCUAAUACCGGAUAGGACGAAAGUUUAAAGAUGCUCCUGGCAUCACUGAUGGAUGAGCCUGCGGCGCAUUAGCUAGUUGGUGGGGUAAAGGCCUACCAAGGCGACGAUGCGUAGCCGACCUGAGAGGGUGAACGGCCACACUGGGACUGAGACACGGCCCAGACUCCUACGGGAGGCAGCAGUAGGGAAUCUUCGGCAAUGGGCGAAAGCCUGACCGAGCAACGUCGCGUGAAUGAAGAAGGCCUUCGGGUUGUAAAAUUCUGUUAUAAGGGAAGAAAGGUGAUAGGAGGAAAUGACUAUCAAUUGACGGUACCUUAUGAGAAAGCCACGGCUAACUACGUGCCAGCAGCCGCGGUAAUACGUAGGUGGCAAGCGUUAUCCGGAAUUAUUGGGCGUAAAGAGCGCGCAGGUGGUUAAUUAAGUCUGAUGUGAAAGCCCACGGCUUAACCGUGGAGGGUCAUUGGAAACUGGUUGACUUGAGUGCAGAAGAGGGAAGUGGAAUUCCAUGUGUAGCGGUGAAAUGCGUAGAGAUAUGGAGGAACACCAGUGGCGAAGGCGGCUUCCUGGUCUGCAACUGACACUGAGGCGCGAAAGCGUGGGGAGCAAACAGGAUUAGAUACCCUGGUAGUCCACGCCGUAAACGAUGAGUGCUAAGUGUUGGGGGUCGAACCUCAGUGCUGAAGUUAACGCAUUAAGCACUCCGCCUGGGGAGUACGGUCGCAAGACUGAAACUCAAAGGAAUUGACGGGGACCCGCACAAGCGGUGGAGCAUGUGGUUUAAUUCGAUGAUACGCGAGGAACCUUACCCGGGCUCAAACGACGCAGGGAUGUAUGUGAAAGCAUACAGUCCUUUCAGGACCUGCGUCGAGGUGCUGCAUGGUUGUCGUCAGCUCGUGCCGUGAGGUGUCGGCUUAAGUGCCAUAACGAGCGCAACCCCCAUCUUCAGUUGCCAUCAGGUAGAGCUGGGCACUCUGGAGAGACUGCCGGCGCAAGCUGCGAGGAAGGCGGGGAUGACGUCAAAUCAGCACGGCCCUUACGUCCGGGGCGACACACGUGUUACAAUGGCAGGUACAGCGGGAAGCCAGGCGGCGACGCCGAGCGGAACCCGAAAACCUGUCUCAGUUCGGAUCGGAGUCUGCAACCCGACUCCGUGAAGCUGGAUUCGCUAGUAAUCGCGCAUCAGCCAUGGCGCGGUGAAUACGUUCCCGGGCCUUGCACACACCGCCCGUCA